rnacentral:lncRNA from 1 species
AAAAUGAACUGAGCCAUAUAAAGAUAUUUGAACUCCUACCAUUACUGGACGCAGUAACAAAGUAGGACGCCAAAUUAACUCUACCUACGGAAGAACGUGGGCAGAGAAAGUCUUAAUGGUAACAGAGUCAGGAUGCGUAUCCCACCCAAGGAAAAGAGUGAACCUCACCUACGGAAGAACGUAGGUUAGACGAGGGAAGUACUCAAAAGUGAACCCCACCUACGGAAGAACGUAGGUUAGACGGGGGACACAUCGGCUAAAGAGUGAACCUCACCUACGGAAGAAUGUAGGUUAGACGAGGAAAGUACUCAAGAGUGAACCUCACCUACGGAAACGUAGGUUAGACGGGGGAUGUACUCAAAAGUGAACCCCACCUACGGAAGAACGUAGGUUAGACGGGGGACACAUCGG